rnacentral:rRNA from 1 species
UACGUAGGGUGCAAGCGUUGCCCGGAUUUAUUGGGCGUAAAGGGCGCGUAGGCGGCUCUGCACGUCCGUUGUGAAACCGCCCGGCUCAACUGGGCGGGGUCAGCGGAUACGGCAGAGCUUGAGCAAGCUAGGGGGCAAUGGAAUUCCCGGUGUAGUGGUGGAAUGCGUAGAUAUCGGGAGGAACACCAGUGGCGAAGGCGGUUGCCUGGGGCUUUGCUGACGCUGAUGCGCGAAAGCGUGGGGAGCGAUCCGG